GGGGUUGGAAUGUAGAUGUUUGGGACCAAUGUGUAUAAAUAAAUGAAUUGUUGAUAACUUAUUGACCUGGUAGCUUGUUAAAGAAACCCAG
ensembl:misc_RNA